AGAGUUUGAUCAUGGCUCAGGAUGAACGCUGGCGGCGUGCUUAACACAUGCAAGUCGAACGGAGCCUAGCGAGUGCUUGCACUUGCGAAAGCUUAGUGGCGGACGGGUGAGUAACGCGUGGGUAACCUGCCCUAUACUGGGGGAUAACAGUUGGAAACGACUGCUAAUACCGCAUAAGCCUACGGUGCCGCAUGACACAGUAGGAAAAACUCCGGUGGUAUAGGAUGGACCCGCGUCUGAUUAGCUAGUUGGUGAGGUAACGGCCCACCAAGGCGACGAUCAGUAGCCGGCCUGAGAGGGUGAACGGCCACAUUGGGACUGAGACACGGCCCAAACUCCUACGGGAGGCAGCAGUGGGGAAUAUUGCACAAUGGGGGAAACCCUGAUGCAGCGAACCGCCGCGUGAGCGAAGAAGUAUUUCGGUAUGUAAAGCUCUAUCAGCAGGGAAGAUAAUGACGGUACCUGACUAAGAAGCACCGGCUAAAUACGUGCCAGCCGCUGC
rnacentral:rRNA from 1 species